rnacentral:rRNA from 1 species
AUUGAACGCUGGCGGCAUGCUUUACACAUGCAAGUCGAACGGUAACAGGCCGCAAGGUGCUGACGAGUGGCGAACGGGUGAGUAAUGCAUCGGAACGUGCCCAGUCGUGGGGGAUAACUACUCGAAAGAGUAGCUAAUACCGCAUACGAUCUAUGGAUGAAAGCGGGGGACCGUAAGGCCUCGCGCGAUUGGAGCGGCCGAUGUCAGAUUAGGUAGUUGGUGGGGUAAAGGCUCACCAAGCCAACGAUCUGUAGCUGGUCUGAGAGGACGACCAGCCACACUGGGACUGAGACACGGCCCAGACUCCUACGGGAGGCAGCAGUGGGGAAUUUUGGACAAUGGGCGCAAGCCUGAUCCAGCAAUGCCGCGUGCAGGAAGAAGGCCUUCGGGUUGUAAACUGCUUUUGUACGGAACGAAACGGCGCUGGUUAAUACCCGGGGCUAAUGACGGUACCGUAAGAAUAAGCACCGGCUAACUACGUG